rnacentral:rRNA from 1 species
UACGAAGGGGGCUAGCGUUGCUCGGAAUCACUGGGCGUAAAGCGCACGUAGGCGGCUUUCUAAGUCAGGGGUGAAAUCCUGGAGCUCAACUCCAGAACUGCCUUUGAUACUGGAGAGCUUGAGUCCGGAAGAGGUGAGUGGAACUCCGAGUGUAGAGGUGAAAUUCGUAGAUAUUCGGAAGAACACCGGUGGCGAAGGCGGCUUCCUGGACUGUUACUGACGCUGAGGCGCGAAGGCGUGGGGAGCAAACAGG